GACGAACGCUAGCGGCGUGCUUAACACAUGCAAGUCGAACGAUGAACCCGGAGCUUGCUCCGGUGGAUUAGUGGCGAACGGGUGAGUAACACGUGGGUGAUCUGCCCUGCACUUCGGGAUAAGCCUGGGAAACUGGGUCUAAUACCGGAUAGGACCACUGCCUGCAUGGGUGGUGGUGGAAAGCUGUUGCGGUGUGGGAUGGGCCCGCGGCCUAUCAGCUUGUUGGUGGGGUGAUGGCCUACCAAGGCGACGACGGGUAGCCGGCCUGAGAGGGUGACCGGCCACACUGGGACUGAGAUACGGCCCAGACUCCUACGGGAGGCAGCAGUGGGGAAUAUUGCACAAUGGGCGCAAGCCUGAUGCAGCGACGCCGCGUGAGGGAUGACGGCCUUCGGGUUGUAAACCUCUUUCAGCACCGACGAAGCGCAAGUGACGGUAGGUGCAGAAGAAGGACCGGCCAACUACGUGCCAGCAGCCGCGGUAA
rnacentral:rRNA from 1 species